rnacentral:rRNA from 1 species
UACGUAGGGUGCAAGCGUUAAUCGGAAUUACUGGGCGUAAAGCGUGUGCAGGCGGCUUCGCAAGUCAGACGUGAAAUCCCCGGGCUUAACCUGGGAAUGGCGUUUGAAACUACGGAGCUGGAGUAUGGCAGAGGGGGGUGGAAUUCCACGUGUAGCGGUGAAAUGCGUAGAUAUGUGGAGGAACACCGAUGGCGAAGGCAGCCCCCUGGGCCAAUACUGACGCUCAUGCACGAAAGCGUGGGGAGCAAACAGG